ensembl:lincRNA
AUGGAACCGGUUUGUAAUUAUUUUAUUCACUGGGUUUUUCUGUUCCCAUUUAGGACCUUCUCCAACCUGCCCAGGCCCUCAAGCCUACCACCCCAGCUGAAAUGCAGGAGAAUUGAUUCACUGAUGAAGAAAGAAAGUAUUCAGAGGCACAGAUUCUGUCCACACAACAGCAAUGGGCAGCAUAAAUCACAGGCAGCCACUGGAAUGGGCAGUGAAAACCACAAACACCAGACAAAUACUUUCAAAAGCUGGCUGAACUCCCAGUGGCCAAGAAGACACUAAAACCCAACGUGGCUGGAAAAAAGAACAUCAGUGAACAUCAACAUCACUGCCCUUUCCUUCCCACAAGCACUCAGCCCUACAUAGCUGAUGUUAAAGAUGGUCAACCACUCAGUCAUCCAGAAACCUGGGAAUCAUUCCACCUUCCUCCCUCUGAAUUACUCUCUACUCCCAACAACAGAUCCUGCCCAGGGAAUCCAAAAUGUAUCGCCAAUCAAGGUCAGUUUUCCAGUGAGAAACAAAAAUAAUCUGAGCUUAAUGAGACGAAUGAUGAUAUAAUAGAGUGAAAAAAGUAUAAGCUUUUGAACCAAAUACAUAUGGAUAGAAAUCCAUAAAUAACUCUAUUACCUACUGAUGCUUUGAUAAUUGAGCAAACCACUUUCUGAGUUUUGAUUUCUGUGAAAUGAACAAAAUUUAAAAUUAAAAUGAAAAAAAGUCUUAUUAUUUAGGGAAGAAAAAAUAUUUGCUUUUGCUCUAUUCUCAAUGCAUAUCUUCAGUUUCUCUUGCCUAGACAUUAGUAAAGUGCACACCUGGUGUUUUUGGUGGAUGUGAGGAUCAUCCAAAAAUAUCAGGUAUGCAUUUUACAGAUGAAGAAUUUAAGUAAUCUAUGCCCAUGUCUGACACUGUCUCAUUUCAUCUGGGUUAAGGAGAGAUAAAAUGACACAUGCCACAUAUCAGAGAUUUGAAACUAUACAGAUCUAUAUGAACCUAAAUCCCCAUGAUUAUAGAAAGCAAUAAAGAUUGUCAAAGUCUCCUUGAUGCUUUGUUAUUACAGUGAAAAAUGAGAAAUAAAAAAUUUAUAAUCUGUCCCUCUUACACACUUGAAUUAAAAUUAGCUGAAGUUUACCCCCAAAUCAAAGGUAUAUUAUAAAGCCACAGACCCAGGAACUCAACAUGUCCAACCUGUCUCAUCUUACAAGACAGGAAAAGCAAUGUCCAAAAACCUGCAUGGCUAAUUUGCAGAAAAUCCAGGGCUCCUGAGUCAGUGUCAUGUUAUUUGUCAACCCCACUUGUCAAAAAGAAUAUAAAAUUCAGAGAGAGCAGACCUGAUAAAUUUGAGUGUUCCAUGUAGAGAGCACCUGAGCAUUUCACAGAGAGCCUUACUCUCAAAACAUGCUCCUUAUAGAUAUUUUUAAUUACCACAUCUGUCUUUAAGGGGCACCCAGUACUACUAUAUCCCACAAGGCUAAUGUAGGAAAAUGCAAAAAAAAAAUCUAUUCUGAAAACUGAGCUUCAUGAGAAGAAUUAUGAUGUAACAGAGUGAAAAAAGUAUAAGGUUUUGAACUAAAUACAUAUGAAUAGAAAUCCAUACUUUAUUACUUACUGAUGCUUUGAUAAUUGAGCAAACAACUUUCUGAGUUUUGAUUUCUGUAAAAUGAACAAAACUUUAAAAUAAAAUGAAAAAAUGUCUCAUUAUGUGGGGAAUAAAAUAUCUGCAAGUGUGUUCAAUAAACGUUGGCUUCUGUUCUAUUCAUUAAGAUGUAUUGAUAUAUAUCAGCACUGGCCAAUUUGCAAAACCACAAUAUAAUUCUUAUUUCUUCUUUUAAGGAGUGACAAUGGUUCUCUGAUGUAACUAUACAUAAAUAUAGACACAUCAAAGACAUGAAAUGUGUUUCUCCUUUUCCUUACCACAAGUAUCAGGUCUACAUUUAGGCAACUGUAUGGUGGUUAGAAUAUCCUUGCAUUAUAGAUUUAAUGUAUGUUUAGUGAUGCCAAGUUCUCCUACAUGACUCUUUCAGAAGUCUAAACAGGGUGAUCAAAUGUGAAGAAAAAUUAACAUCAGCUUAAUACACUUUCUAUGCCAGAUCUUACUGAUGAAUGAGUCUGGGCUCUGAAAUUAGACUGACAUGAGUCCAAAUGUCAUUCCAGUAUAUAUUAAUUAGCUGUCUGAACUUGUGCAAGUUACUUCCCUUUUGAUGAGAAAUUUCCUUGUCUGCAGAAUGAGCAGAAUAAUAGAACCUAUUUUGUAGACAUAUGGUGAGAAUUAAAGAAAUUAAUGCAUACAAAGUAGUUAGCACCAGGCCUGACACAUGGUAAGUGCUUAAUAAAUGCAAGCUGUUGUCAAUACAUACUUCAGAUGCAUUGCCAGGAGGAAAAGGAAACAUCAAAAUAAGGGAAAUGUAAACUUGAUUCUGUUGAAAGUGUUCUGUUUUUGUCAUCUUUCAUUCUACUAAUUUAAUAGCUGGUGUGUAGCACUAUAUGCUUCUUUGUAUGGAGAGUGCCUCAAGUUAAUUUGUUCCCAUAUCCUUCCACAUUUCUCAAAUGCCAUCAUCUGCCUGGGAAACUCCCAAAUCCAAGUCUGUCUUUCUUCUACUAAGAAGCCAGCAAAAUGCAUGUUAAUACCACUGACCACUCACUCCACAAAACACUCCUGGAAUUGCUAAAGAAAAAAUGGUAACUUGUUUCUGUAAAGUCUUAUCUAAAAAUGAUGAUCUAAAUAGUACUCUGUUCAUUUAAAAUCCCAUCAAUGCACUUCUCUUUUGUAUCUAUACAUAUUUGGACAAUGUCUGCUUCUUCCUGUCUGAAGCAGCUGUGUGUUUGUGAAAAUAGCACACAAAUUGACAUCAGGGGAUCAGAGGCUCA